ACAAAAGUGAUUAUUGGCGAGUCAUUUGGGCGAUGGCGUCCGCUCAAGCAACAAAUGGACCUAAAGACAGAUGCCUUGGUUGCUAAAUUCCUUCUGGACAGAACGAGAGCUGUAGCUUUUGGCCGGCAUGUCAGGAUAAAGGCCUGACAACUGUGCGAAUACAAAUCAGCAGUUAUGUAACUGCUGGUAACCGGAACACUGGCCGCUCUGUGCUGCUGUCACGGCGGGUGGAUACAACACACACACGGAGUGUAGUUGGACCAUCAUCUGACCUGCCAACUCUACACACAGCAUUCUGUAUCUGAUUAUGUUAAAGGCUAAAUGCAGAUCUGUUGAAGAACUCUACGCUCUAUGAAACCGUUUCAUUUUAAUGAAGCCGAGACAUCAGUCUACCCUUUAGUGUCACCCUCAGGCCUGAAAAUAAACAUUCAACCAAGAACCGUGAACCCAGUAAGUCAUUUGACAGAAUUAUCUUGACUCAGAGUUCACAAACUUGUGCUUUAUUUUCACUUUGAACUUUAUCUUAUUGUCUGUUAUAAUAAUUUCAAUAAAAACUAAAAGUGUCUGCGUUAGUUUCCAUUCAGCACUUUGAUAAUGUUAAGUGUAAUAAUUGCAUUUGAAGUCUUUUUAUGGGUUCUGUAAAACAUCUUGAGACAAUUUGACCUGUAAUUGGUGCUAUAUAAAUAAAAUUGAAUUGUUG